ACGCUCGACACCUACGGAGGCAGCAGUGGGGAAUAUUGCACAAUGGGGGAAACCCUGAUGCAGCGACGCCGCGUGAAGGAAGAAGUAUUUCGGUAUGUAAACUUCUAUCAGCAGGGAAGAAAAUGACGGUACCUGACUAAGAAGCCCCGGCUAACUACGUGCCCGACAGCCGCGGUAAUCUGAGCGGGCUGGCAAGGC
rnacentral:rRNA from 1 species